rnacentral:tRNA from 1 species
CAAAUUAGAGCUUGAGUAUAAGCAUUUCAUUUACAUUGAAAAGAUAAUAUAAUUUAUUUAAUUUG